rnacentral:rRNA from 1 species
GACGAACGCUGGCGGCGUGCUUAACACAUGCAAGUCGAACGCUGAAGCUCAGCUUUUGUUGGGUGGAUGAGUGGCGAACGGGUGAGUAACACGUGAGUAACCUGCCCCCUUCUUUGGGAUAACGCCCGGAAACGGGUGCUAAUACUGGAUAUUCACUGGUCUUCGCAUGGGGGUUGGUGGAAAGGGUUUUUCUGGUGGGGGAUGGGCUCGCGGCCUAUCAGCUUGUUGGUGGGGUGGUGGCCUACCAAGGCUUUGACGGGUAGCCGGCCUGAGAGGGUGACCGGUCACAUUGGGACUGAGAUACGGCCCAGACUCCUACGGGAGGCAGCAGUGGGGAAUAUUGCACAAUGGGCGCAAGCCUGAUGCAGCGACGCCGCGUGAGGGAUGGAGGCCGUCGGGUUGUGAACCUCUUUCGCUCAUGGUCAAGCCGCAACAAUGGUUGUGGUGAGGGUAGUGGGUAAAGAAGCGCCGGCUAACUACGUG